CUACGGGAGGCUCCAGGCGAGAAAACUUUGCAAUGUGCGAAAGCACGACAAGGUUAAUCCGAGUGGUUUCUGCUAAAGGAACCUUUUGACAGUCCUAGAAACACUGUUGAAUAAGGGGUGGGCAAGUUCUGGUGUCAGCCGCCGCGGUAAAACCAGCGACCUCAAGUGGUCAGGAUGAUUAUUGGGCCUAAAGCAUCCGUAGCCGGCUCUGUAAGUUUUCGGUUAAAUCUGUACGCUCAACGUACAGGCUGCCGGGAAUACUGCAGAGCUAGGGAGUGGGAGGGUAGACGGUACUCGGUAGGAAGGGGUAAAAUCCUUUGAUCUAUUGAUGACCACCUGUGGCGAAGGCGGUCUACCAGAACACGUCCGACGGUGAGGGAUGAAAGCUGGGGGAGCAAACCGGAUUAGAUACCCCAGUAGUC
rnacentral:rRNA from 1 species